rnacentral:rRNA from 1 species
UACGAAGGGGGCUAGCGUUAUUCGGAAUUACUGGGCGUAAAGCGCACGUAGGCGGCUUUGUAAGUAAGAGGUGAAAGCCUGGAGCUCAACUCCAGAAUUGCCUUUUAGACUGCAUCGCUUGAAUCAUGGAGAGGUGAGUGGAAUUCCGAGUGUAGAGGUGAAAUUCGUAGAUAUUCGCAAGAACACCAGUGGCGAAGGCGGCUCACUGGCCCGAUACUGACGCUGAGGUACGAAAGCGUGGGGAGCAAACAGG